UUAAUUGAAACCAAAAAGAGGUAUAUUAUUGUUAAUAAUUUAAAUGAAAUUUUUCCAAUUUUU
rnacentral:tRNA from 1 species